AUGGCGACGGCUGGCAGCGCAGGCGGCGACUGCGGCGGGUCUGCCGGCGUUGGAGACGAUGGUCCACCUGUGGGAGAUAUAUGCGGGAGCUCAAACCCUAGCUGGCCAUCGGAUACGAGCAGCCCCAGCCAGAGCCCCCAGCACUGUCUCGAAUAUGCGGCGGCAAGAUCUUGGGCCAGGGCAGUGAAGGAGAAUCCGUCGGAGGGUCACAGGAUUGCCUCGUCAUUCGGCGGCGUCUAUUUGAAUGAUGAUGUUUGGGAAGUUAGAAUGCACUUCCAUGACAGAGACAAUUUGGAGAGAUCAGUUUGCAUUUCAGACGUAACAUAUUAUAAUUUGGUUGCCCUAAUAGAGACAGAGGGAUAUGGGCUUAAUGAUUUCAUGUAUUUUGUGAGGGAUCCUGGUGUGGGGAUUACAGGAAUGGAUGAAAUUUGUGAUGAUGAUAAGGUGGAUGAAAUGCUUGACCAUAUUGCUAACAAUGAUCAGCAUGUAGUGAACUUGACAGUGGUUAGGGGCACUGAUCCAAGACCUGCAGAUUUGAACUCAGGCUAUCUGGUUGAGGAGCAGGUUCCUUUGAGCCAUAUAGGAGAGAAUCCUGUGUAUGUAGUAAAUCCUUCUGGUGUUUUCUUAAGAUCACCACCAAAAAGUAUAAUACAGAGUCAGCCAAAGCCAUUGCAGUUCUACACUACACAGCAGAGCACAAACCAUGAUCUGGAUACAAAUGCUGCCAUGGACCAAUCCAAUGCAGCAGAUCAGGCUGAACUGGAGACAUUAAUGGAGUUGAAGAGGAGAACAAAGAUUGCCAAAUUUAGGAAACAUAAGAUUGCAGCUGAGCAUGUAAAUAAGGUUAAGAAGAAGCUACCAAUUCUUCUAACUGGAGAUGAUUCAGAUCUGGAUGCAGAUGAGGACUAUCUUCAGAGGCUUAAUGAGAUGAGGAAGCAAAGAGAGGAUCCACUCAUUCAUUUUGAUGGAGACACUGAUGUGGAUGAACUAUAUGAGGAAGAUGAGGAAGGGCAACAUGUGGAGGUGGAGCAAGAGGAGCAGGUGGAGCAAGAUGAGCAGGUGGAGCACGAAGAGGUGCCUACAAAGAAGAAGAAAGCUAGAAAAGGGCCAACAGAGAGGUCACAUUCUAGCUUGGAACAGAGAUUUGAGGAUGUUUGGGCACCAUCAUCAGAUGAGGAGCCAGAUCUUGGUGUUUUGAAGCAGGAAUAUGAUGAUGGAGCCGAGGAAGUACAAUUUGUUCUGCCCAAUGGAAGGAAGAGCAGAUCAGUGAGAUCUUUGCCAAGGAUCUGGUACAGUGAGGAGAGAGAGAACCCAGAGGAGCAGUUUUGCAGAAAACUUUGUUUCCUAAAUGUGUAUCAGUUUAGGAGAGCAAUUCAGACAUUGCACAUAACUCAUAAUAGGAAUUAUGAGUUCCACAGAAACUGCAAUGACAGCAUCAUAGUUGUGUGCAUAAAUGCAAAAUGCCCUUUCUUUAUUGCAACUUUGUUUGUUGCAAAUGAGACUACUUUUUGCAUAAGGAAGGCAAAUUUUGUGCACACAUGCCCAACAGUAGGAGAGAACACCAAGGUCACUGCAAAAUGGGUUGCACACCAGUGUGAGGCAAUGAUGAGAGUUGAUAUUGGCACACCAGUCACCACAAUAAUGCAGACACUGAAGAAGAACUAUGGAAUAGAGAUGUCCACCCAUAUGGCCUACAGGGCUAGGAAGCAAGCAUUGAAGGUUGUCCAAGGAGAUCAGAGAGGACAAUACACUAGAAUAAGAGAUUAUUUGCAGGCUGUGUUGGAUACAAACCCAGGCUCUAGAUGUAUUGUUACUACUAGGCAUGUACCAGAGCACCCAAGCAAAAACCCUAGGUUUCAUGGCCUCUUUUUCUGUCUAAGUGCUUGCAAAGAAGGGUUUUUGAAUGGAUGCAGACCAUUCAUAGGGGUAGAUGGUUGUUUUAUCAAGCUGUCAACAGGUCAACAGAUCCUUGCUGCAACAGGAAGGGAUGGGAACAAUAAUAUCUACCCUAUAGCAUUUGGAGUUGUUGACAAAGAGGACAAAGACAGCUGGACCUGGUUCUUAACACAGCUUAAAGAUGCACUUGGUGGAGAAAGUGGGAAGUUUGGUUAUUAUACCAUCAUCUCUGAUAGGCAGAAGGUAAACUUCUCUUCUCAUACAAUAUUGCACUAG
rnacentral:rRNA from 1 species